AACGAACGCUGGCGGCAGGCUUAACACAUGCAAGUCGAGCGCCCCGCAAGGGGCGCGGCAAACGGGUGAGUAACGCGUGGGAAUCUACCCAUCUCUACGGAAUAACGCAUGGAAACGUGUGCUAAUACCGUAUACGUCCUUCGGGAGAAAGAUUUAUCGGAGAUGGAUGAGCCCGCGUUGGAUUAGCUAGUUGGUGGGGUAAAGGCCUACCAAGGCGACGAUCCAUAGCUGGUCUGAGAGGAUGAUCAGCCACACUGGGACUGAGACACGGCCCAGACUCCUACGGGAGGCAGCAGUGGGGAAUAUUGGACAAUGGGCGCAAGCCUGAUCCAGCCAUGCCGCGUGAGUGAUGAAGGCCCUAGGGUUGUAAAGCUCUUUCACCGGUGAAGAUAAUGACGGUAACCGGAGAAGAAGCCCCGGCUAACUUCGUGCCAGCAGCCGCUGUAACAC
rnacentral:rRNA from 1 species